rnacentral:lncRNA from 1 species
ACAAAGAUUUCACUAAGGCCUGGGAAGCUUCAGUGGGAGAACUGAAGAAGGAUCAGUGAUGUUCUCACUCUGAAGUCUGCUAAUUCCUGAAGUGCAUCACUCAGCCAAGGGGCUGUAGCUUGGGCUGUUUGUAUUACCGUUGUAGAAAAAUGAAUUUGCCUGAUUCUGUUACUCUGUGAAGAAUAUACCAGGAAGAUUUUGCUGGAGGUAUCAGGGUUUGUUUCAAAUUUCCUGGUGAAACAUCUCAACACGAAGCCCUCUGCCUGUUCUGUUACUUUUACAUUCGGUAAUAGAGCCUAACUCUGCCUUCAGAUGUGAAGAACUAGUGUUUCCUCACAAAAA